rnacentral:lncRNA from 1 species
UCUGAGUGUUCCACCAGUAAGUUAGCCAUGGAAGAUAGUGAGCAACCCGAAGUGUCCAUUGAUCGGGGAGAAGUUGAUCGUAGUAUGAUUUUCGAGAUAAAUUUGCAGGGAAACUAGGCCACCAGUAGUUAACCACAGGUGUUAGAAGAGCCCCUCCUGCUAAUCUGUUACAAAUUGCCAAAAUGACAAAAAAUCAAUGGGGAGAAGUUGAUCGUAGUAUGAUUUUCUAGAUAAAUUUGCAGGGAAACUAGGCCACCAGUAGUUAACCACAGGUGUUAGAAGAGCCCCUCCUGCUAAUCUGUUACAAAUUGCCAAAAUGACAAAAAAUCAAUCAUAAAGUAUAUUCAAGACACAAUCAAAUAAACAAAAGCACGCUCUUUGACAGACGAUCAUAUAUUUCCAAAUGGUAUUAGAGCAGACAAACGCCCCGAGUUCGAGUCUUACUCUGCCGCCAUCCUUUAACCGCAGUUUAAACAGCAGCAAAUGGUAGUAAAAAGUAUUGAACAAUACCUAUGAGGAAUAUAUUUGAG